UUAAUGGGAAGGGAGGAGAAAUUUAUGAAAUGAUGAAAUUAAUUAAGACUUCUCAAGAACCAUAAAUGAAUAACAUAUUAAAGGAAACUACACCCAUAAUUCUUUCCCAGGAUUCGUUAAAUCCCUAUCUGGCUCAUUUUGAGAUGGAUGAUUUUAAUGUAGAUGGGUAUAUCAUAGAAGUAAAUGAUCUAGUAGAUACAUACUAUCUCAAAACCAUCCCACCUU
rnacentral:lncRNA from 1 species